UCCACGAGAGAUUCCGCUGAGUUCCAGAAACGACAACGGCGGUUGUGUUGUCAGGACUUAAAUCACCAACAAGCGGCCUCCAGGUCUCUGCACGGACUCCACCACAAAAUGAACUACGCUGCGGAAUCAAACCAACGUGGCGCUGCAGAGGGAAGAGCGAACCAACUCAGAAAAGCUCCUUUGCCAGAAAACAAACCGAGGCAGGAACCGAACAGUGUCCUGUCGGGAAACGCCAGGCCUGACGUCUCAGAAGGAAGCCGAUAACCAAGAGGGAGAUUCCACUUCACGUCUUUAUCUCCCAGGACACAGUUAGCCGCCGCCCUAUCGC